CUGCCUGCCACAGCCGGAUAAUCGGGAGAAAUUCCGUCUAAUACGGCAUAAUGCAUCGACGGGACAUCCUGUUGGUGCCAAAGGUUGAUUCCGGUGGCGGAUGGGCAUGCGUCGCAUUAGUUAGUUGGCGGUGUAACGGACCACCAAGACGACGAUGCGUAGGGGUUCUGAGAGGAAGGUCCCCCACACUGGUACUGAGACACGGACCAGACUCCUACGGGAGGCAGCAGUGAGGAAUAUUGGUCAAUGGGCGGGAGCCUGAACCAGCCAAGUCGCGUGGGGGAUGACGGCCCUAUGGGUUGUAAACCUCUUUUGCCGGGGAGCAAAGUGCCGCACGUGUGCGGUUUGGAGAGUACCCGGAGAAAAAGCAUCGGCUAACUCCGUGCCAGCAGCCGCGGUAAUACGGAGGAUGCGAGCGUUAUCCGGAUUUAUUGGGUUUAAAGGGUGCGUAGGCGGACGCUUAAGUCAGCGGUAAAAUUGCGGGGCUCAACCUCGUCGAGCCGUUGAAACUGGGUGCCUUGAGUGGGCGAGAAGUACGCGGAAUGCGUGGUGUAGCGGUGAAAUGCAUAGAUAUCACGCAGAACUCCGAUUGCGAAGGCAGCGUACCGGCGCCCAACUGACGCUGAAGCACGAAGGCGUGGGUAUCGAACAGGAUUAGAUACCCUGGUAGUCCACGCAGUAAACGAUGA
rnacentral:rRNA from 1 species